UACAGAGGGGGCAAGCGUUGUUCGGAAUUACUGGGCGUAAAGGGCGCGCAGGCGGCUGCUCAAGUCAGGCGUGAAAGGCCUGGGCUCAACCCGGGAAUUGCGCUUGAGACUGGGCUGGCUUGAGUGCGGGAGAGGAUGGUGGAAUUCCCGGUGUAGUGGUGGAAUGCGUAGAUAUCGGGAGGAACACCAGUGGCGAAGGCGGCUUCCUGGACCGGUUCUGACACUGAGGAGCGAAAGCGUGGGGAGCGAUCCGG
rnacentral:rRNA from 1 species